rnacentral:rRNA from 1 species
CGGUGGAUGCCCUGGCAGUCAGAGGCGAUGAAGGACGUGCUAAUCUGCGAAAAGCGUCGGUAAGGUGAUAUGAACCGUUACAGCCGGCGAUGUCCGAAUGGGGAAACCCAGUGUGUUUCGACACACUAUCAUGUCAUGAAUACAUAGUGGCAUGAGGCGAACCGGGGGAACUGAAACAUCUAAGUACCCCGAGGAAAAGAAAU